rnacentral:rRNA from 1 species
CAGUAGCCGCGGGAAUACGUAGGUCCCGAGCGUUGUCCGGAUUUAUUGGGCGUAAAGGGAGCGCAGGCGGUUUAGUAAGUCUGAAGUUAAAGGCAUUGGCUCAACCAAUGUAUGCUUCGGAAACUGUUUAACUUGAGUGCAAGAGGAGAGUGGAAUUCCAUGUGUAGCGGUGAAAUGCGUAGAGAUUAGGAGGAACACCAGUGGCGAAGGCGGCUUUUUGGCCUGUAACUGACACUGAGGCGCGAAAGCGUGGGGAGCAAACAGGAUUAGAUACCCCUGUAGUCCCUGUCUCUUAUACACA